rnacentral:rRNA from 1 species
CUUUAACUGACGCUGAGGCUCGAAAGCGUGGGGAGCAAACAGGAUUAGAUACCCUGGUAGUCCACGCCGUAAACGAUGAUUACUAGGUGUGGGGGGACUGACCCCUUCCGUGCCGCAGUUAACACAAUAAGUAAUCCACCUGGGGAGUACGACCGCAAGGUUGAAACUCAAAGGAAUUGACGGGGGCCCGCACAAGCAGUGGAGUAUGUGGUUUAAUUCGAAGCAACGCGAAGAACCUUACCAGGUCUUGACAUCGUGAGCAUAGCUUAGAGAUAAGUGAAAUCCCUUCGGGGACUCAUAGACAGGUGGUGCAUGGUUGUCGUCAGCUCGUGUCGUGAGAUGUUGGGUUAAGUCCCGCAACGAGCGCAACCCUUACUGUUAGUUGCUACGCAAGAGCACUCUAGCAGGACUGCCGUUGACAAAACGGAGGAAGGUGGGGAUGACGUCAAAUCAUCAUGCCCCUUAUGACCUGGGCUACACACGUACUACAAUGGCUGUAAACAGAGGGAAGCAAAGCAGUGAUGCAGAGCAAAACCCUAAAAGCAGUCUUAGUUCGGAUUGUAGGCUGCAACCCGCCUACAUGAAGUCGGAAUUGCUAGU